AUGGAGAUUAAACUUCAGGGGCCAAAGAUGGUGAUUGGCUUGAUAGUGAACCUGCUGCUUCCCUCCCAGCCCUGCUUGACUCUCUACUCCUGGGAGUACGUCUCACAUAAGGCGUUCCAUGAUGCUGAGGACCUCUCGAUAAGCUACUCGGAAGAGGCUUUGGUUCUGCAGUCGGCUGGCUUCCAGCUAUACUCAAGAGUUCGGUCCUCUUGUUCCAGGAGGAUCAGUCUCCACGCUGAGGAGCCCAGAAGGAAGCGCAGAAGGAGCAGGAGAGAAGCUCCUCCAGGAACAAGAUUCAUCAUAAGCCUGGUAGAAAAAGCGAUCCAAGCCAAUACAGCUAUUUGCCAUUCCCAUUCCAUCUGAAACUGUUUAGAAUGUUCUGUGUAAUUCUCCCUGGCCACGUGGGGGGCUGUGGAAAGCACAUGAGUUUGCUGUCAGGAAACUUACAAUUGCUGUGUGGCUUUGGAGAAGUCUUUUAACCUUAACUGAGCCUCUGUUUCUUCAACUAAAAAUGGAUACCUACCCAUAAGUAUGGUGCUUUGUUUUAAAUAAAAUAAGGGAAUAUAUGCAAAGUCACCUGGCCAGAUAUGUAGCACAGAGUUGACUCUCAAUAAAAGAAAAUUAUUUCUCUUCUUUAUGACCUUGGUCGAGUUCCUUCAUUCAGCUGAACCUUGAUUUUCUCAUUUGUAAGUUGGAAAGGAUAAUACCAGUCUUGCUGAAUUGCUAUGGAGAUGAAGUAGUGAUUUUGGGAAAGGCUUUUCAGAACCAUAAAGUGCUAUGCACCUGUGAUCAGAGUCCCAGCGUCACCACUGUGGGGAACUCUGGUGCCUGGGACAUGGCGGGCACUGACAGGUUGGAGUCAGCGUUGGCAUCAGGGUUAGGUGGUUGUGCUCCUUGGACACCCCCGGGCUCCUGCUCUCCUCAUCUUAAUUUUAAUGCAGUUUUUGUUGUUUUGCUUUGUUUUUGAGAUGGAGUUUGCUCUGUUGCUCAAGCUGGAGUGUAGGGGCUUGAUCUCGGCUCACUGCAACCUCCGCCUCCCAGGUUCAAGGGAUCCUCCUGCUUCAACCUCGUGAGUAGCUGGGAUUAUGAGCGCAUGCCAUCAGGCCUGGCUAAUUUCUUGUGUUUUUAGUAGAGAUGGGGUUUCAGUGUGUUAGCCAGGAUGGUCUCCAUCUCCUGACCUUGCGAUCCACCUACCUCGGCCUCCCAAAGUGCUGGGAUUACAGGUGUGAGCCACCACUCCCAUCCUUAAUGCAGUCUUAAACACUUCCUGAUAAGCACUGGGCCUUCGUGAAGCUGUCAGAGUGACCCACCCCAAAUUCAGGGAGCAUUCCCUCAGUUCAGAAUUUAGAAGGGAUUGACUCUUCUGAAGGACAGAAGGAUCUCACAGGAAAAAACUAUCUUCUCUGAUGCUUAGUAAGAGCUAACAUUUAUACACUUCCAUGCUGUGUCAGGCACUGUGCUGCCAGACAUCUUACAUAAAUCAUUUUAUGUGCUCUUCACAUAAUCUUAUAAAGUAGAUGCUAUUACUAUUCUCAAUUUAUAGAAGAGUUAAUUGAGGCUCAGAGGAGUAGCUCACAUGUUGGAGCUGGGAUCUGAACCUAACAGCCUAAUUCCAUACAACUGGGCUUAUAGUUCAAACAUUGGGAUUGCUGUAGUUCUGGAGCUUAGAAUAGCACCAGUGCAUGGGAGAGGGGGGUUGCUACAGGGAGGAAGCCUUUUUUUUCUCAAAAUAAUAAUAUCUUAUCAAUCAGCUCUGUCCUGAGUGAAGCCUGGGACCUUGAAAUUAUGGAGCUCCCUGUUAUUGCAGAUUUUAAGAACAGGCUGAACAAACAGCCGGGAGAGAUACUGAAGGGAGAAUCCUGG
ensembl:lncRNA